UACGUAGGGGGCAAGCGUUGUCCGGAUUUAUUGGGCGUAAAGCGCUCGCAGGCGGUCCGAUGCGUCGUGCGUGAAAGACCCCGGCUCAACUGGGGAGGGUCGUGCGAUACGGUCGGACUCGAGGCCAGUAGGGGGACGCGGAAUUCCGGGUGUAGUGGUGGAAUGCGUAGAGAUCCGGAGGAACACCAGCGGCGAAGGCGGCGUCCUGGACUGGUACUGACGCUCAGGAGCGAAAGCGUCGGGAGCGAUCCGG
rnacentral:rRNA from 1 species